rnacentral:lncRNA from 12 species
GCCCCCCGCCCCCCGACGUCCUGCCUGCGCGAGCCCUUGGUUCCCGGAGAAGCCGCGGUUCCCCCAGGGUGAGGGACGACGGCGUCCUCGGGCAGCCCCGCCCCCGCCCGGCGGCACCUGCCCCAGCCCCCGGCCAGCAGCACCGUGGGCCCUGCCGCGGGUGGGCGCCCGUGGGCGGCUCCCUUCUGGAAAGGCCUGGUCGUCUUCAGGUGAAAGGAGCCCGCUCAUCACAGACCUUCUGCGCGAGCUCGGGGAAGAUGAGAGAUCCGGGCCCGCGGCGGCCCUGGGUGAGGUCGUGCAGGACACGGAGGUGCUGAACACAGCUGUCCUCACCGGGAAGGCCGUGUCGGUUCCUGUCAAGGUCGUGGGCAUUCAGGAGGACGGCUCCGUGGUGGACGUGUCAGAGGCUGUGGAGUGCAGGUCUGCGGACGAAGAUGUUGUGAAGGAAUUUGGAAUGAGCGAGCCGGGACCCAGGGUGGGUCCUUUCUGAUUAGGAGGCUCCGCGUGCUCUGUGCCUGAGGCCCGCUGCUGGGAUAAGGCUGCACUGUCUGGCUAAGUCCUGGAAAGUUCCUUUUGCACAAUAACAUCAAAGACAUUUCAUCACUGAACUUUGCACCGUCAUUAUUCAUGAGGUUAGUGAGGCGAGUAGCUCGUACCUAGAACUUAAUUAUGUCAUCAUGACAUUACCUGAAGUAAUUUCCUGGAUGUCCAUAUGGGCAUCUACUGUGCAUGAAAUGUACCGUCACACAUUUGGGCAACCAUUUCAGUGACACUAAAUAUCUCUAAAAUGUGUCAGCUGGGGAAUCGGCAAACUGUGCUUUGAAAGAAGUUCCUAAUCUUAAUCUGUCUGGGAGAAAUAAUUUGCAAAGAAUGCACAUUUGGGGAACUCUCCUGGUCAAGACCCCUUGCACAACUGUUCAAGUUGUUCACUGAGUAAGUGCACGCAAUUGAGGGAGUAAACCGAAGAAUAAUAUUUAGCCCUCUCUCUGGGUGGAAAAUUAAAGGCGACCAUGAAUUCCUUUCCCUGAAAGUACUGUCUAUGUCUCCUUCCCUUGAAUGUUGGCAUGUUGUGGCCUUUCCAGGCAAAGAGAAUUUACUAACGGUGAAACUAUGCUAGUUUCCAGGAUCAGGUGUUAGGAGACUGGCUCCUCCUACUUCUUCUCAUUUAGAACACUUGACCUUGGAACACUAUGCUAUGGGGAAGACCAAGCAGCCUAAAUUAGUUCUUUCUGGUGGGUGAUUGUUUCUAAAACUACAUUAUGGAUUCAAGCAGAAGUACUCUAUGACAGUGGGUGUGCUUUGUCCUUUGGGAAGUCUCUGGGAUUCAAAUGUCUUUAUCAUUGGGAUCCCAGGUCAUGCCGAGGUCCCUGUGAAACUCUGGAACCUCAUUCUACCCAUCAAAAAGGCCUUAUCCUGGGGUGAGAGAGGACUCUGACACAAACAAGAAAUCUCACUUCCUAAGUAUUUUGAAUUCACGCAGAGACUCAAUCUUUGGAGAAAUUUUGCCUCUCAAGAUGAACCUAUCAAGAUGUAAAAAAUUUAAGAUUUGCACAUUUGUUGGGGUCUUUCAGUCUGACACUUAGGAGAGGUAAAAAUUCAAUCACGAUGCCAUACAUUUAGAUUGAACAGCUCAUAUCUUCAAAGCCAUUUUAUAUGCAUCAUAUUAUUUGCUAGAACAUUAAGGAUAUUUAAUUUCUCAUGUUGACUCCUUAUUAGAAGACGUGCUCUCACGGAGUGUUAUUCACACUGGCCUUCUGAUGUUAUGACCUGGUUGUGACCGUGGUGAAAUCAGCAGGAGAGGUUUAAACUACGCCUCUUCUGUUUCAGAUGCAGGAAGCUGGGCUCACUGGGUGACUUGCUUAGGCCAGAGUCCAGUAGGGGUGGAAGCUGCUUCCUGUCUCCCAGUCAGCAGCUCAUCCUCCACACUGUGCCAUCUUCUUGCAGAUUCCCAACCCGAUGUUGCAAGGACAUGGCCAAGGAUUGUUGUAUUUCUUGUUUCCUCCUUCCUCUUACAAGCUGACCACACAUCUUUCUGUGAUGGAUGUUGCAGAGGAAAAAGCGGCUGGGGAACAUGAUCUAUUCUUCUGGUGAAGACUAUGGGAUUUAGGAUUUUAGGUUCACAUCUUCAUCUUCACCCUCUGUGGACAACCUUGGAGGAGGCAGUUAACUCCCCUGAGCACUAGUUUCCUCUCUUAGAGCAGUAGAUUGUGAUUAUCAUACCCGGCUCACAGCACUGUAGAUGGGGAUCCAGAUACAACCAGAAGAUGAACUCCGCAAUUUAAAAUACAUCCCACACUUUGAAAAAAUGAAAUAUAAAUCACAGGCUACAAUGAAUAGGAAAUCUAUGAAGCAUGAGCUGCAAAUGGCCAAAGGAUGCAUUAUUUAAGGUUCAAAUUCAAUAGCAAUUAAUAAAUUAUAAAUUAAAGCAACGAUUAGAUAUCUC